GGCAGAUAUUAAAUUUGCCAAAUGAAAUGCCCAACAGACUUCACUACAGUAUUAAUUAGUGACUAUAUGAUUACCUAUGUCCUGCGUUCUGGUUGGGCUUUGAUUAUUUCUAAUGUUACAGCUUAAGGAUAAAUAACUUCAUUUGUGCAGUGAUAAACUGAAAGAAUUUCUGACUAAAACUGAAUUUUAACUCUUUCAGGUUUUCCCAGUCUCAGUGCAUCUGUGCUGGAUGCAGUGAUCUGUGUAAAGGAUCAUCAUUUGCUUUGGAGUGCUGAUGUACAUGUGAAGAUUUAAAUCUAGUUAUUUACUUGUUCACUUGUGGGAUUUGGCUGAAUGACCUGACUUAAAAGCAGAUGGAUAACCUUUCUUUGGUCCCAUUUCAAACCCAGCACAGGAUUUAUGAGAUGACAAUUGGCUCCAUCGUGUUCCAGGUGGCUGCUGGUGAUAUUACCAAGGAAAGUGGAGAUGUCAUCAUAGACAUAUCAAACCAAACUUUCAACCUCUAAACAGGUACUUCAGUCACUAUUAUGUGUGGAAAUAGGACUAUUUCCACAUGUAAUAGGAAGCACUAAGAAGGUGAGUGGGAAGCUUUCUUGUUAUUCUAUGCUACUGGAUAAUGCAUUUAAGACUUGCAGGAAAGUGAAAUUAUUAACUUCAAUUUUUCGAUAAUAUCUUUUAACACAACAUCUCUUAUAUUAAAGGAGAGGAAUGUUAUUGUGGCUUUUACUUCAGUGAAACUUCUUAGGUUUCUCAAGAUGUCUUUUGACUUGAAAUGCAUAAGCCUAAUAUUUAAAUGAUACUGUCCAAUUAUAAUUUGUGCUUUUACCAAAAAUGAGAGUAUGGAGUAUCUGAUUCUGCCUUCAAGACAAAAGAGCAUCUAAACCUUUGUAAAGAACAAGAUCUACCUAUGAUUGCAUCCUCUUAUUCUGGUAAAGCUUUAAAUGAUAUAGACAAGUCCACAGACUUGAACACAGGUAUGAGCUGAGGAUGAUGUUAGCAGAACUCUUAAUAGAGAAGCUGUGUCUCAUUAGGAG
rnacentral:lncRNA from 1 species